rnacentral:rRNA from 1 species
AAUCAACGCUGGCGGCGUGCCUCAGACAUGCAAGUCGAACGAUUAAAGCUCUCUUCGGAGAGUGUAUAGAGUGGCGCACGGGUGAGUAACACGUAAGUAAUCUACCUUCGAGUGGGAAUACCGUCCGGAACGGACGCUAAUACCGCAUAAUGCAGCGGCAUCGUAAGAUGACAGUUGUUAAAGAUUUAUCGCUUGAAGAGGAGCUUGCGGCAGAUAGUCUAGUUGGUAAGGUAAUGGCUUACCAAGGCUACGAUCUGUAACCGGUCUUAGAGGACGGUCGGUCACACUGACACUGAAUAACGGGUC